rnacentral:lncRNA from 1 species
AACAAAUCCUGCAAGACAGGCAACUGCCUUUGAUUUAGAAAUGCAUGACCUAGAGUUAGAGAAAAGCUUGAGGACAGUUUGUACAUUCUGGUCCUGGCUUUAUACAACUGAAACUGAGGAUGGCAAAUAAUUUCAUUACAUCUAACAGCUCCAGUUGAUUGUGAAGGCUCUCUGGACCAUGAGGAAUUAUGAGUGUGUGGAGUCCUGAUUCCAGUUGGAUGGACAACCCAGAACUACUGCCUGACCACCCAUCUGACUGCAAGCACUACCACUUCCCAAAAGCUCCUUGGAUACUGACACUGGCCUGAUUGGUGCCCAAGUUCACAGCCUCCUGGGGACACCUUCAAUUUGAUGAUUGGAUACUAUCAGCUGUGAAAAGCAGAUCCACAGGAGAGUUACUUCUUUAGCCCUGGCCCAGCUGUCCUUCCUCCCCACUUUCUGAUGCCUUAAGGAGUCCCUGAUUGCUCCAGGAACAUAUCUACCCUUUCCAGUUUAAGAAGAGAUUCAGAGCUGUGUGUCUUGGUGAAGUCUGCACAGCUGAUCAGUGGGACAGGACCCUGGCUGGUCUUGUGACUCUAUGUCUAGGGUUUUCUCUGCUGCUGAUGGCUCCCUUUGCCAGGGACGCUUACAUUCAGUGAUGGGUCGAGGUGGGAAUACAAAGUCUGGCCCCCUUUCCCAUGGGCUUGGAUCUUUGUCGUCACUACAAGGGGCUCAAUUUCUCCUUCCGAGAGAUUGUUCCCUAGAGCAGACCCCAAUAAAUUUCCUGCAUGCAAAUCUCAGACUCACAUUACCCAAACCCUAAUGAUGAGGAAGAUGGGAUGGUGAUUAUACCUCACUGUCUCUAAAAAUUGAGCCUGAGCUGAUAUUGACAAGAAUAUUCAAGUGGUGGCAAGUGAAUUAAUUGGCUUAUAUUUACUGCCUAUUUUAAAAUAUGUUAUUUCUUUAUUUGAAGUUCCCAUUAGGAAGAGAAUACACGAACUUGAAUUUCACAAGUAUGUGUGAAUUACAAAAGUGUGAUAGAUUUUUAGCAAGAAUACAUUUUUAGGUUGCUUUCAGACAUUGAUUAUUCUCAGUAAGGCAUGGAAUCUGGGUCGAGAAAUAUUAUCUUUUAUGUUAGAACUGUAAACUGAACAGCUGAUUAAUAAUUCACUAAUAACUGUUGUUACCUAUUUCUUCCCAAAGUCUAAAUAUAUCAUAAACUCUAUUAUUAGGCUUAGUAAGAAUAUAGGACCUUUUAGGAAAACUAAUAUCCUGAUAAAUAGAGUUGUCACAUUUCCAUAAUGCUUUAUCAAUUUUUAAUGAAUUUUAAAAUAGUAAGAUAUAUUUAAUACCAAAAGUCUGACGCACAUAGUUUAAUUUUAUUUUUGGUAAUUCCAAAGACAUUUGGCAUAUGAGUAAUUAUCCAUGUGUUAUAAACAUGCAGUGAUAACAGUUAUUAGAGAAUGACGGAUAAAGCCAGUUUUAAUUUGACUGUAUCUAUGAUGAUGUUGUAUGGAUCUUAUUGAAUAUAAAUAUAAAGACUGUUAUAAAUAUUGGUAAUUGGGAAUAGAGCUGCUUAUGGGUACAUCAGUAAACUCAUUAAUUAAAAUUGGAUUAGACAGAUUAAAAAAAGUUUAAAUUAAGAUAGAAUUCACAUAUACUGUAUAUUAGGUGUAAAUAAUCUGAUUUAUAUUGUAAAGAGUAUAUAGCCAUGUAUCCAACAUACUAUUCAAGAUAUGGAACAUCUCCAAAGCAGGGAUUAUGUGGGAAAGAUCUUUUGGAUUUCUGACUUUCCUGGACAGUGUGCUCAGCUCCCUGAUAGGGCUUGUUGGCAGGUGAAUCCUGAUGCCCCUCCACCUACCUUCUCAUCACUAUUGUUUCCUGCGACUUCCAGCGCUGUUUAUUGCAUGUUUAAUCUGCUGAUCCUCACCAU